UAAGGUCCCGCUAUACCUUGAAUAUAGUUUGU
rnacentral:piRNA from 1 species